UACGGGGGGAGCAAGCGUUGUUCGGAUUUACUGGGCGUAAAGGGCGCGUAGGCGGCCACCGCAAGUCGACUGUGAAAUCUCCGGGCUUAACUCGGAAAGGUCAGCCGAUACUGCGGGGCUAGAGUGCAGAAGGGGCAACUGGAAUUCUCGGUGUAGCGGUGAAAUGCGUAGAUAUCGGGAGGAACACCAGUGGCGAAGGCGGCUCACUGGCCCGGUACUGACGCUGAUGAGCGAAAGCGUGGGGAGCAAACAGG
rnacentral:rRNA from 1 species